GAGUUUGAUCCUGGCUCAGGACGAACGCUGGCGGCGUGCCUAACACACGCAAGUCGAACGAGAAUCUUUUGGUUGAUUUCUUCGGAAUGAAAUCAAGAGAGGACAGUGGCGGACGGGCGAGUAACGCGUGAGUAACCUGCCCAUAAGAGAGGGAUAGCACUUGGAAACGGGUAGUAAUACCUCAUAUUGAUAUUGAGCCGCAUGGUUUGAUAUUGAAAGAUUUAUCGCUUAUGGAUGGACGCGCGUCUGAUUAGCUAGUUGGUGAGGUAACGGCCCACCAAGGCGACGAUCAGUAGCCGGACUGAGAGGUUGAACGGCCACAUUGGGACUGAGACACGGCCCAGACUCCUACGGGAGGCAGCAGUGGGGAAUAUUGCGCAAUGGGGGCAACCCUGACGCAGCAACGCCGCGUGAUUGAAGAAGGCCUCGG
rnacentral:rRNA from 1 species